AAGUUUAGGUUAAACAAACCAAGAGCCUUCAAAGCCCUAAACAGGAACACCAACCCCCCCUAACUUCU
rnacentral:tRNA from 1 species